rnacentral:rRNA from 1 species
CUACCAGACUCCUACGGGAGGCAGCAGUGGGGGAUAUUGCACAAUGGGGGGAACCCUGAUGCAGCGACGCCGCGUGGGUGAAGAAGCGCCUCGGCGCGUAAAGCCCUGUCAGCAGGGAAGAAAAUGACGGUACCUGAAGAAGAAGCCCCGGCUAACUACGUGCCAGCAGCCGCGGUAAUACGUAGGGGGCAAGCGUUAUCCGGAUUCACUGGGUGUAAAGGGAGCGUAGACGGCGACGCAAGUCUGGAGUGAAAGCCCGGGGCCCAACCCCGGGACUGCUCUGGAAACUGCGUCGCUGGAGUACGGGAGGGGCAGGCGGAAUUCCUGGGGUAGCGGUGAAAUGCGUGGAUAUCAGGAGGAACACCGGCGGCGAAGGCGGCCUGCUGGACCGUGACUGACGUUGAGGCUCGAGAGCGUGGGGAGCGAACAGGAUUAGAUACCCUCGUAG